rnacentral:rRNA from 1 species
UACAGAGGUCCCAAGCGUUGUUCGGAUUCAUUGGGCGUAAAGGGGUGCGUAGGCGGCGCGGUAAGUCGGGUGUGAAAUCUCGGAGCUUAACUCCGAAACUGUAUUCGAUACUGCCGUGCUUGAGGACUGGAGAAGGAGACUGGAAUUUACGGUGUAGCGGUGAAAUGCGUAGAUAUCGUAAGGAAGACCAGUGGCGAAGGCGGGUCUCUGGACAGUUCCUGACGUGAGGCACGAAGGCCGGGGAGCAAACGGGG